CAAUUGACUGCCGAAGACAGCAGGUGCCGUAAGGCAUAAGUUUAAAAACGCCUGCCGAGGAAGAUCAUGAUUCUUAAUGUGAAUUAUUGAGCCUCUGUGUCUUGGGACAUGGGGGCUUUUAUUUUU
rnacentral:sRNA from 1 species